rnacentral:lncRNA from 1 species
UGGACAUCACAGAGGCCAUUAGCUCAAAAUGCCACAAGACUUAAACUACAUGAACAGACAAACUUUGCUUCAAGUAGUUACCUCCAUGAGCUUUCCGAUGUCAAACUUUGGUGCUUUUAGGAUCUUCACCUUGCGGAUGAAGACAUUUUGCAAGGGGAAUAUGCUAGAGGUGGCUUUCUCGAUUUCCUUUCCAAUGACCUCAGGGAUGAACUUGGACACGAGUUCUUUCAGAUCACAAGUUGAAGCUUGGUUGCUCAUGAUUUCAGUCAUCUUCCGACGAAUCUGCAAAAACAGAAAUGGUGUUCAUAUGACAAACAAGCUAAGAGAGAUUCAAGCCUCUUUAAAACAUGAGAUAUCUUCAGAACUGUCACCUGUCUGAUUUGGCUUGCUUGAGCAUAGCAAGUGCGCUUCACUUGAUUGGGCCGCCUCUUGGUGAACCCAAUGCAGAACAGACGUAGCAUGUAGUUAUCGGUGGUCUUGACAUCAACAUGUGCCUCAAUAAGCGUCUGCCAUUUCUUCACCAGUGAACGGAGCUUAUCGGUAGUGAAGCUCAUACCCUAACAAGAUAACAAGAUGGUUAAAGACACAAUAUAGAACAUAGGUCUCCUAACAGUGUGAAGUGAACUAGAGAUCAUUACCCAGAAGUUUGUGAGAACAUUUCUCCCUUGUAUAUCCUCUGCACGAAGUCUAAUCUUCCUGUAUGCCUGGUCUUCAUCACUCUGAAGAUCAGCCAAGGAGACCUCAAAUACUCUGUGCUUUAAACCCUCAGAGGCAAUCUGAAAACAAACAGAAGAAACUGAGUUACAUGCAGUCAUGGAAUCACAAAAAAGGAGCAGUGCAACCAUUCUGGCAUACAAAUUUAUAUAGCACUGCACAAGAUCAAGAAAAGGUCUAACCUGACUGAAAAAGUGCCCUAAUAAAUGGAUGGAUAUGUAAGGUUCAGCAAUACAUCUCAGCAACUAAUCAAUCACUACUUCACCACAAUACACGAAGGCAAUAGUACGAUACCCAAACAGAGUGAGAAGGUGAAGAGUGCGAAUACCUUGGUGCCCUGUGUCCUGGAGACAAGGGUCUUGCCGAUGUUGCGCACGCUGAAGACCGACGGAGCCUUGAUAUCAUACCAAUCCUUUUUGCUGAACGGAUCCACGCUGCAAGGCAAGAGAAACAGACACACCAAGAAAACGGGUCAGCCGGCCAGAGGAGGCCAAAGAACAGCUGAAAACGAGUGCCAUGCAUCAUUAAGUUCAGUACAGCCAAAAAGGAUUUUAAAGUGGCCAAAAACAUCAGAACUUAGCUUAUAUACAUCGACACCAGAUGCAGUGAAAUUCGAGGGACAAUUUCAGAUUAGAAUGGGUGUAACGAUGGAUAAAAUUCAGCAGUUCUGUACUAUCCUUCAGGUAGUCACAAUCAAAAGUUGCUGCACCCAACCCGACACAACUAAGAAAAAUUAACUAUCAAGCAGUUCCGAGGUUUAGCAUUGAACAGAUGGGCACAACAAAUAUCACAGGCCUAGUGUCCUCGCUCAAAGAAAUCAUGUGACGUCAUAACAUUACAGAGUAAUGAAUGGUCAUCUGCGCACCAAAAGGUCCAUAAGAGCAAAAUCUAACCAUCUCUGAAUGUUAAACUCCCGGUUUCCGAUCCGCAGACGGAAGAGGAUAAGGGGGAGAGAUAACUCACGUCUUCUUCUUGCCUCCCUUCUUGCCCUUGGAGAUACGCUUAUUCUUGCCUACCGCCAUUGCGAGAACUAAUCGCUGCGUCCGUGCAGCGGCGAGGGGAGCGGAGCGGGGCGGCGCGCUGGUUGCGGGUGCGCUAGGUUUUGGAGGGCCACCGGCUGCCCUGCGCUUUUAUACGGGGGGACGGGGUGCAGGCCAACGGGCCGAUUUGCAGGCCCCAACGGCCGAGGAGCCGGGAGUGUCGCCUGGCCCGCUAACGGCAUUCUAUGGGGCGGGCCUUAGCGGGUCAAGGGCGUUAUCGGGCUGUGCUCGUGCCGGGGGUGCGUCCCAAGCACGGCACUACUAUGCGGGCCGGUCCGGCACGGGCACGAGUGAGUUCAGGCCGUCCCUAAUGGACAUGUAUAGACGCAUGGCCCAAGGCCUGAUGUUCUUGUUCUCCAUCCCCUGUGCGGCUGUGCCCCUGUCCAGUUCCUCCCAAAAUCCAGCAUGAGGCCAAGAUGAUUUUGAUUUACUCUCUCUAUACCUAUAAAAAAAUCGUUUUAAACAAAAUUUUUAAGUUAAGGUCUUGUUUAGUUCUGAAAACUUUUUGAUUUUCGGUACCGUAGCACUUUCGUUUUUAUUUGACAAACAUUAUCUAAUCAUGAAGUAACUAGGAUUAAAAGAUUCGUCAUGUGAUUUACAGAUAAACUGUGCAAUUAGUUUUUGUUUUCGUCUAUAUUUAGACACAUGCAUAGAACAUUAAAUAUACAUAAAAAAAUAAACUAAUUACACAAUUUGGUUGAGAAUCGCGAGACGAAUAUUUUAAGCCUAGUUACUCUAUGAUUAGCCUUAAGUGCUACAGUAACCCACAUGUGCUAAUGACAGAUUAAUUAUGCUUAAUAGAUUUGUCUUACAGUUUCCUGACGAGCUAUGUAAUUUGUUUUUUUUAUUAGUUUCUAAAAACCCCUUCGACAUGCUUCCGACAUAUCCGAUAUGACACCUAAAAAAUUUUCAUCUCCAAUCUAAACAGACCCUAAAUUUGUAACAUGAAUGUUCCUAGAACAUAAGCUUGCGCAAGUAACCUACAGAUCAUCCAGGCAUAGCAAGGAAACAUAACUUUCAAGCAAAAAUAAAGCCACCACAGAUCCAGAUCUUGUGGGGGUAUAAACCCCUAUACCCUCACGGGCCUAUAUGGGCCGCACCAUCAGAGGUGGCUCGGCCCACAAGAUGAAGACGUGCGGCGCACGACUCGUCGGCGUGCACCGCAAGACUACAAGAUUUUGUACCAAAUAGGAUACUUUGCUUGUAACUCUGUCCCUUCAGGAUAUAUAAGGAGGGGCAGGGGUCCCCUAGAGGACAGACCAUAUCACAUCAUAUUCUCUCAACACAAAUCAAUACGACCAGACGCAGGACGUAGGUAUUACGCCAACUCGGCGGCCGAACCUGGAUAAAAAGCUUGUCCGUGUCUUGCGUCACCAUCGAGUUCGUAGUUUGCGCACCGUCUACCGAUAAACUACUACCGUGGGUAUACCCCAAGGUAGACUGCCGACCAGCUUUCGUCGACAGUGGCGCGCCAGGUAGGGGGUGUGCGUACAGCUCUCCCGACGAACAAGAUGGCCAUCAUCCCCGACUUCGCGGCCAUGGCGGGCGACUUCACGUUCACCGUCAGCCUCAACAACUUCACCGCCAUGACCACGGAGGAGGUGUAGAUCCGAUCUGCGCCAACCACUUCUUCAUCGACGUCGGCGGCGGCUUCAACCACGCUGGCUAUGGUUUCGACCACACCAGCAGCGUCUCCGACCACGCCGACAAUGCGUCACCUGCUUCCCUACUACAAAGAGAGGCAGAUCGACGACAUCGAUCUGCUCGGGCUAACGACCAAGUUGUUUGGCCUACUUGCUCUGACCACCAGUCGCAAUAAUAAUCGCCGCGAAGAACGGCGCUACGACAACCGCGACCACCGUCACGAUAACAAGUCCAAAAGCUCGAGGGCCAGACAAUUUUGUCGUCACCGACCAGACUUUCAUCCAAAGAUAAGUACACUUCUAAUAUCUUAUUUAUUUUUGGCAUAAUAUUUUUUAUUAUCCUUCAAAACCAACUUUUUGUUUAGCCACACUAGUUUUUUCUCCUACACGAGCUUUCCAGAGCCGGUACUGUCUCCGACUCCUCCCUACACGUGCACGAGAUCCGCCCUCUGCGUUCCGGGUGGUCGGCAGUAGCUCUCUGGCGAGGCUGGCAAUCCCACGCGUGUCUAGGUUCCGCACCUCAUGCUGAUUGUUGGCUAGACCAGAGCUGGUACAAGCUCUAGGAUGAAUUAACUACUCGUGCUAAUUUUAUAAUAAAAAGUCUAAAACUUAUCUCAGUGCUGAUUUUUUAUCUAGAGUUUAUUUAUACAUCAUGUACUACCUAUUUUCUCUAUAUUUAUUUUUCAGGAGUUUGGCCCAGUCGACAAGCUACGCUCGGGGACUCGUCGACUAUUCCCUACGCUGUGCCCGGGGACUGCUCCGACCACCGAGCACGUUUACGUUCCCAACCACGCUCGGGGACUUGUCGACUACUCUCUAUGCUAUGCUCGAAGAAUGUGCCGACCACCGAGCACGUUUACGUUCCCAACCACGCUCGGAGACUUGUCCACCGGUCCCUACGCCGUGCUCGGGGACUGUGCCGACCACCGAGCACUAUACGCUCGGGGACUGGUCGACCAGCUCACCAAUUUAAGAGCUUGGGGACUGCACCGACCACCGAGCACUAUACGCUCGGGGACUGGUCGACCAGCCCACCAAUUUGAGAAUUCGGGGACUGUACCGACCACCGAGCGUUCUAUGCUCGGGGACUGGUCGAUUAGUCUAUUCAAUUGCAUACGAGCAUGAUAUGCUCGGGGACUGGUAAAUUCAAUUUUUUAGACCUUGCUACAAGGCUCAUACUUCGCCUUCCAGCAAGCUCGGGGACUACAUCGGUACGAUGCAUCUGGCGAUGCAUCUCAGUUUCAGAAUUUCUUUGAGGACUUUUCUUUUGACCCUGGCACCACGUGCCUACGUCACCUACUACCAGGCUCGGGGACUAAGUGGGCACACUUCACCUUGCGGUGAAUUUGCUUGCUUUUUUGAUGUUUAUACCUUUCAAAAAAGUAAAGUGGGCACACUUCACCAAGAAAGAAAUCUUUUUUAAUUUAGAGCACCAUGCAUUCUUCGAACAACCUGCUUCUUCGAUGUCAAUGUCGAUCAACUGUCUUUUGAGUUGGUCAAAAUACCGUUGCAACUGUUCGGGCAACUUUCCUGUUUAUUGAAGACGUCAAGCCUCACUGAUCGAAGAAGCUCAAGACGGCGUGUUACAUCAUAAUACAUGGUGCUCGGGGACUAGCUGUGGGGGUAUAAACCCCUAUACCCUCACGGGCCUAUAUGGGCCGCACCAUCAGAGGUGGCUCGGCCCACAAGAUGAAGACGUGCGGCGCACGACUCGUCGGCGUGCACCGCAAGGCUACAAGAUUUUGUACCAAAUAGGAUACUUUGCUUGUAACUCUGUCCCUUCAGGAUAUAUAAGGAGGGGCAGGGGUCCCCUAGAGGACAGACCAUAUCACAUCAUAUUCUCUCAACACAAAUCAAUACGACCAGACGCAGGACGUAGGUAUUACGCCAACUCGGCGGCCGAACCUGGAUAAAAAGCUUGUCCGUGUCUUGCGUCACCAUCGAGUUCGUAGUUUGCGCACCGUCUACCGAUAAACUACUACCGUGGGUAUACCCCAAGGUAGACUGCCGACCAGCUUUCGUCGACAGAUCUCGACCAAAAAAAGUGUUUCAAGGUAACACGACAACUUUAAAUGAGAAAUCCAUCUGUUGGAGUUGCUUUAAAAAAAUGUAAAAAUAGCCUAGAUAAUAUGGAUAACAUAUCUGUUGGAGUUGCUCUUAAGCCUAUAGACAUAUAAACAGCAAUACUAUCACUCGGAUGCAGCAACCUCCUGUCCCCCCAUUGCCAAGUCGCCUUCUGCGGGCCUUUCAAUAUGAACACCAACGUCAUCCUUGGCGUAGUCACCAUGCACCUGGGAGUCACACAACAUUAUUAGAUUAAAAAGAAAGGCACAAUGCUAAACUACUGUAACACAGAAACUUUGCUUCAAGUAGUUACCUCCAUUAGUUUUCCAAUGUCAAAUUUUGGCGCCUUCAGAAUCUUCACCUUGCGGAUGAAGACAUUCUGUAAAGGAAAGAUGCUAGAGGUGGCUUUCUCAAUUUCCUUUCCAAAUGACCUCAGGGAUGAACUUGGACACGAG